rnacentral:rRNA from 1 species
UCAGUUCAGAUUGCAGGCUGCAACCCGCCUGCAUGAAGUCGGAAUUGCUAGUAAUCGCGGAUCAGCAUGCCGCGGUGAAUACGUUCCCGGGCCUUGUACACACCGCCCGUCACACCAUGGGAGCCGGUAAUACCCGAAGUCAGUAGUCCAACCUCGUGAGGACGCUGCCGAAGGUAGGAUUGGCGACUGGGGUGAAGUCGUAACAAGGUACC